rnacentral:rRNA from 1 species
UACGUAGGGGCAAGCGUUGUCCGGAAUCAUUGGGCGUAAAGAGCGCGUAGGCGGCCCUGUAAGUCCGCUGUGAAAGUCCAGGGCUCAACCCUGGAAUGCCCGGUGGAAACUGUCGGGCUAGAGUCCGGAAGAGGCGAGUGGAAUUCCUGGUGUAGCGGGUGAAAUGCGCAGAUAUCAGGAGGAACACCAAUUGGCGAAGGCAGCUCGGCUGGGACGUUACUGACGCUGAGACGCGAAAGCUGGGAGCAACGG